rnacentral:lncRNA from 1 species
GAAGGACGAAACCGAAACCAGCCGGACCGCGUGCGCGCGUUCUGAUGGGCAACCGAAAGCCGCCGCGCCUUUUUGGGAAGCAAAAAAAAAAAAAAAAAAACAACGGAGACAUCGGCGCAUUAAAAAAAUUCCACGUAUUUCCGAAGCGUGGCAGCACAUCCCAAGCAAGAGAAAUGAUCGAAGAAGGCGCGCACUUUAAACCAGCUGCACCGCGAACGCGCUCGGAUGGGCAAGCGAUAGCCGGCGCGCCGUUUUGGGAAGCAAAAAAAA